rnacentral:tRNA from 1 species
GCUAAGGUGGCAGAGCCUGGUAAUUGCAAAAGGCCUAAGCCCUUUCCCUCGGAGGUUCAAAUCCUCUCCUUCAGCU